rnacentral:pre_miRNA from 1 species
AAAAUACUCCCUCCGUCCCGAAUUAGUUGUCAUAGAAAUGGAUGUACCCUAGACAGAUUUUAAUUCUAGAUACAUUCAUUUCUUUUCAUUUUAAUGACAAGUAAUUCCGGACGAAGGGAGUAUCAG